rnacentral:tRNA from 1 species
GCGGGGGUCCCCGAGCUAGGUCAAAGCCCAUUAGUGUGGAUCUGCUGGCGUAGGCCUUCGUGGGUUCGAAUCCCACCCCCCGCA